GAUGGGCUCGCCCAGCACUCCCGAAUUUACAGCCCGAGCUACCAGAUGCUACAAACAAAGAAGUAUUUGCACACGUGAGAAAAACAGUAUUACUGCACGUGAUGGAGGAGUAAGGGCAUAAGAGUCUUUCAGACUUAACUUCAACCUGUAUUCUGCAAGACAGCCUAGGUGUGACCACUGCACCGGUGCCACUGCCCCAGGCAAACCCAGUUCACGGAAAAGAGACUCAUGUCACCAGAAGGAGGUCAGUCAACCUGUCCCAGAUACUCCCUUGCAACACCAGGACCCUGAGGUGGUGUCACUAUGUCUGCACCAUUUGCAGGAGGUCCUGGUUUUGAGCACUAGCAGUAUGACCAGAGUAUUCCUGAAGUAAAAGUAUACCCUAUGACCAUAAAUGAUUGGUGAAUGGGAAAGAUAUCUUGCUGGGAGCUAUCUAGGUGACGUACUCCCAGGCACUCCAGAUACUCCCAAACAGAUUGUAUCUUACCUCCCUCCUCCAACAUUGAUCCCAUUAGCCUGAAAGCAUCCACAUUGAUGGGGAGUUCCAUUUUCUUUCUGGCUCAUUACUUUUGUUGGUGACCACCACCACCAUUUCCUGCUAAAAGAGAAAAUCCAUAAGUACUAGCAGCCCCUUUGGAAACAGUUUAAUGGCAGUCCAGAGGAACAAUCAGAGGAGCCAGUGGGAACGGGGUUACAACACAGACAGACACAAAGCUGGGGGCUUUCGAGCAGCUGGCCACAGCACUCCGUAACAUUCAAGUCCAGUCACACUUGAAACAUGGUCUAUGUUAAAGUAUGCUGGAUUUCUCUGUAGUACAUUACCACAGUAGCAAGACAAAGUUAGUGCAAAUAGGGGGUUUUGGUCUGUGUGGGAUUUUUAAUUAACUGGUACAAUUGAAAGAGACUAUUGAGCUGCUGGGAAGAUUAAGUGGGCGUUUCUAGACCUGAAAAACUGUCAAGCACCUUUCACCCACGCUCCAUACAUUCCUCAUUCUCUGUGAAAAUCCCCCCCCUUUCUCUGAUUCAGCCUGUGUCAUUCCCCUUUGUUUGCACUGACUUUCUUUUCUUCAUUUUCCUUCCUGGAGAGUUUCUAACAUAGGCUAAUUUCCUUUUCUUACUUCCAUUUUUACAAGGUCAUUUCCUGGAAUUCAAAACAUCAUUUGCUAAAUAAAGACCAGUAUUUCCACAAUAUUCAAUAUGCUACAAGAUGCUUCUUACUCUGUAAAGUCCAUGUACCAAAAUGCAAACAUCCUAUAUGUAUCAGCUUUUUCUAUUUUUUGCUAACAGUGUGACAGAAAUAUUAAUCUAAUGGAAAGAACUGAAUCUAAAGAAAAUUAAAGUACCUUUUUAUAAUGGUAAGAAUACUGUUUUGUUGGAAGCUACCAUUCUGCCCUCACCUGCUGUGAGAGAAGAGUUUGCACACUUUGAUUACACAGAUACAUUCGAGCUCUUAAGAUUAAUACUGUCCAUACUGUAAUACAGCUACUUAGCAUUUUUGUUCAUAGUACGUAUUCCUGCUGUUCUGAGCUGCAAAAUGCAGAAGUCUAGCAUAUGCAUUUCUGUGGAAGGAAUAACGUAGUCAGUGGGCGUAUUCCAUGAUUCACUUAUGGAUGCAUGACUUUCA